GACAGAGGGUGCAAACGUUGUUCGGAAUUACUGGGCGUAAAGCGCGUGUAGGCUGUCUCGAAAGUCGGAUGUGAAAGCCCUGGGCUCAACCUAGGAAGUGCAUUCGAAACUUCGAGACUCGAGUCCUGGAGAGGAUCGCGGAAUUCUCGGUGUAGAGGUGAAAUUCGUAGAUAUUCGGAGGAACACCAGAAGCGAAGGCGGCCAACUGGCCCGAUACUGACGCUGAGGCGCGAAAGCGUGGGGAGCAAACAGG
rnacentral:rRNA from 1 species